UACCUUCUAAUUCAAUAUAAAAAUUCAUUUUUAAAAAUGAAUUACAUAAUAUUUGAUUGCGCGAGCGCCGUUGACAGGGCUGAAAUAAUUGCCUGUUAGAAAGAUAAAUUUGUAAAAGAUUAGGCUGUUGGUGAAUUAAAAGCUCACCAAACCAAUGAUCUUUAGUUGGUUUUAGAGAAUGAUCAACCACACUGGGACUGAAACAAGGCCCAGGCUGAUAUGUUGGCCAGCAGUGGAGAAUAUUGGACAAUGAACGAAAGUUUGAUCCAGCAAUACUACCUGGGUGACGACGGCUU
rnacentral:rRNA from 1 species